UACGUAGGGUGCGAGCGUUGUCCGGAAUUAUUGGGCGUAAAGAGCUCGUAGGCGGUCUGUCGCGUCGGUCGUGAAAACCUGCAGCUUAACUGUGGGCGUGCGGUCGAUACGGGCAUGACUGGAGUUCGGCAGGGGAGACUGGAAUUCCUGGUGUAGCGGUGAAAUGCGCAGAUAUCAGGAGGAACACCGGUGGCGAAGGCGGGUCUCUGGGCCGAUACUGACGCUGAGGAGCGAAAGCGUGGGGAGCAAACAGG
rnacentral:rRNA from 1 species